rnacentral:rRNA from 1 species
GGUCAAGCUACGAAGGGCGCACGGUGGAUGCCUAGGCGAUGAGAGGCGAAGAAGGACGUGGACAGCUGCGAAAAGCUUCGGGGAGCCGCUAACAGGCUUUGAUCCGGAGAUAUCCGAAUGGGGAAACCCGCGCUGGGACAACCAGCCAUCCGGCACUGAAUACAUAGGUGACGGAAGCCAAGCCAGGGAACUGAAACAUCUAAGUACCUGGACGAAAGAAAAUCAAGAGACUCCUCAGUAGUGGCGAGCGAACGGGGACCAGCCUAAACCCGGCGACGAAAGUCGGCGGGGUCGUGGGCCAGCGAUAGGGGACCUUGAACCCAGUUGAACGGCAUUGAAAGGCCGGCCAAAGACGGUGACAGCCCGGUAGACGAAAGGUGAGGAGGCCCUAGCAGGUACCGGAGUACCGCAGGGCACGAGCAACCCGGCGGGAAUCUGGGUGGACCAUCAUCCAAGCCUAAGUACUACCUACCGACCGAUAGUGAACGAGUACCGCGAGGGAAAGGUGAAAAGAACCCCUGGCGGGGAGUGAAAUAGACCUGAAACCGUAUGCCCACAAGCAGUGGGAGCACUAUGCCCGCAAGGGAAUGUGUGACCACGUACCUUUGCAUAAUGGGCCUGCGAGUUACCGUACGCAGCAAGGUUAAGCCGAGAGUGGAGCCGAAGCGAAAGCGAGUCCUAACAGGGCGACAAGUUGCGUGCGGUAGACCCGAAACCUUAGGAUCUAUCCAUGGCCAGGUUGAAGAGCGGGUAACACCGCUUGGAGGACCGAACUCACUUAAGUUGAAAAUUAAGGGGAUGAGCUGUGGAUAGGAGAGGAAAGGCUAAUCGUUGGGAUAUAGCUGGUUCUCCUCGAAAUAUAUUGAGGUAUAGCUCGGACGAAUUGGUGCCGGAGGUAGAGCACUGAAUGGGCUAGGGGUCCUUACUGGAUUACCAAACCCAAUCAAACUCCGAAUGCCGGUGACAAGUAUCCGGGAGCCAGGCUGCGGGAGAUAAGUUCCGUAGCCAAGAGGGAAAGAGCCCAGAUCGGCAGCUAAGGUCCCCAAGUCCGAGCUAAGUGUCAAAGGAUGUGGGAGCGCUUAGAUAACCAGGGAGGUUAGCUUAGGAAGCAGCCAUCCUUUAAAGAAAGCGUAAUAGCUCACUGGUCAAGCGAGCCCGCGCCGAAAAUAUAAACGGGCUAAGCUCGGCACCGAAGCCCGGGUUCUCGAAAGAGAAGUAGAGGAGUAUUGUCAGGUAGAUACACGCUGGACGGUAACGACCAGUAGCGGACCUGACAAGAGCUUAUGCAGGCAUGAGUAGCGAUAAAACGAGCGAGAAACUCGGUCGCCGUAAGCCCAAGGUUUCCUGGGGAAGGAUAAUCCUCCCAUGGGUUAGUCGGAUCCUAAGCCGAGGCCGAGAGGCGUAGGUGAUGGGAAGCAGGUUAAUAUUCCUGCACCACCAAGGAAGACGUUGACGUAAGCGGGGACGGAGAAGGGUAGGCUGAGCACGGUGCAUGGAUCCGUGUCCGGGCCUGUAGGGUGAGUUGCGAGGACCCGAUAGGGACAAACCGCGACUCGUUAAGCCCGGAGAGGUGAUGGGGGCAAGCUUCGGCUGGCAGACUCGGUGAUCCCAGACUUCCAAGAAAAGCCGUACAGAGUCUCUUGGUGUCCACGCAAACCGACUCAGGUGGGCGGGGAGAAUCCCCAAGGCGCGUGAGAGAACCCAGGCUAAGGAACUCGGCAAAAUGACACCGUAACUUC